UUGGCUCAGAACGAACGCUGGCGGCAGGCCUAACACAUGCAAGUCGAACGGUAACAGGAAGCAGCUUGCUGCUUCGCUGACGAGUGGCGGACGGGUGAGUAAUGUCUGGGAAACUGCCUGAUGGAGGGGGAUAACUACUGGAAACGGUAGCUAAUACCGCAUAACGUCUUCGGACCAAAGAGGGGGACCUUCGGGCCUCUUGCCAUCGGAUGUGCCCAGAUGGGAUUAGCUUGUUGGUGGGGUAACGGCUCACCAAGGCGACGAUCCCUAGCUGGUCUGAGAGGAUGACCAGCCACACUGGAACUGAGACACGGUCC
rnacentral:rRNA from 1 species